rnacentral:rRNA from 1 species
GACGAACGCUGGCGGCGUGCUUAACACAUGCAAGUCGAACGGAAAGGCCCUGCUUUUGUGGGGUGCUCGAGUGGCGAACGGGUGCGUAACACGUGAGUAACCUGCCCUUGACUUUGGGAUAACUUCAGGAAACUGGGGCUAAUACCGGAUAGGAGCUCCUGCUGCAUGGUGGGGGUUGGAAAGUUUCGGCGGUUGGGGAUGGACUCGCGGCUUAUCAGCUUGUUGGUGGGGUAGUGGCUUACCAAGGCUUUGACGGGUAGCCGGCCUGAGAGGGUGACCGGCCACAUUGGGACUGAGAUACGGCCCAGACUCCUACGGGAGGCAGCAGUGGGGAAUAUUGCACAAUGGGCGGAAGCCGGAUGCAGCAACGCCGCGUGCGGGAUGACGGCCUUCGGGUUGUAAACCGCUUUCGCCUGUGACGAAGCGUGAGUGACGGUAAUGGGUAAAGAAGCACCGGCUAACUACGUG